GACGAACGCUGGCGGCGUGCUUAACACAUGCAAGUCGAACGAAGAGCGACGGAAGCUUGCUUCUAUCAAUCUUAGUGGCGAACGGGUGAGUAACGCGUAAUCAACCUGCCCUUCAGAGGGGGACAACAGUUGGAAACGACUGCUAAUACCGCAUACGAUCUAACCUCGGCAUCGAGGAUAGAUGAAAGGUGGCCUCUACAUGUAAGCUAUCACUGAAGGAGGGGAUUGCGUCUGAUUAGCUAGUUGGAGGGGUAACGACCCACCAAGGCGAUGAUCAGUAGCCGGUCUGAGAGGAUGAACGGCCACAUUGGGACUGAGACACGGCCCAGACUCCUACGGGAGGCAGCAGUGGGGAAUCUUCCGCAAUGGACGAAAGUCUGACGGAGCAACGCCGCGUGAGUGAUGACGGCCUUCGGGUUGUAAAGCUCUGUUAAUCGGAACGAAAGGCCUUCUUGCGAAUAGUGAGAAGGAUUGACGGUACCGGAAUAGAAAGCCACGGCUAACUACGUG
rnacentral:rRNA from 1 species